rnacentral:rRNA from 1 species
GACGAACGCUGGCGGCGUGCCUAAUACAUGCAAGUCGAACGAGCGGCGGACGGGUGAGUAAUGUAUGGGGACUGCCCGAUAGAGGGGGAUAACUAAUGGAAACGGUGGCUAAUACCGCAUACUAUCGGAUAACCCAUAUGUGAUUAGCUAGUAGGUGGGUUAAAGGCCCACCUAGGCGACGAUCUCUAGCUGGUCUGAGAGGAUGAUCAGCCACACUGGGGCUGAGACACGGCCCAGACUCCUACGGAGGCAGCAGUGGGGAAUAUUGGACAAUGGGCGCAAGCCUGAUGCAGCCAUGCCGCGUGUAUGAAGAAGGCCUUAGGGUUGUAAAGUACUUUCAGCAGGGAGGCGUUACCCGCAGAAGAAGCACAGGCUAACUCCGUGCCAGCAGCCGCGGUAAUUC